UGCGUAGGCGGAAUAUUAAGUCAGUGGUGAAAUCCUGCGGCUUAACUGUAGAACUGCCAUUGAUACUGGUAAUCUUGAAUUUAGUUGAGGUGGGCGGAAUGUGUAAUGUAGCGGUGAAAUGCUUAGAUAUUACACAGAACACCGAUUGCGAAGGCAGCUCACUAAACUAACAUUGACGCUGAGGCACGAAAGCGUGGGGAGCGAACAGGAUUAGAUACCCUGGUAGUCC
rnacentral:rRNA from 1 species